GUGAGGGGGCUGGGUACCCAGGUUAGGUGGUAUGGAAACAGGUGAGGGGAUGGGUACUGGGUUUAGGUGGUAUGGAAACAGGUGAGGGGGCUGGGUACUGGGGUUAGGUGGUAUGGAAACAGGUGAGGGGGAUGGGUACUGGGGUUAGGUGGUAUGGAAACAGGUGAGGAGGCUGGGUACCCAGGUUAGGUGGUAUGGAAACAGGUGAGGGGGAUGGGUACUGGGGUUAGGUGGUAUGGAAACAGGUGAGGAGGCUGGGUACUGGGGUUAGGUGGUAUGGAAACAGGUGAGGAGGCUGGGUACCCAGGUUAGGUGGUAUGGAAACAGGUGAGGGGGCUGGGUACCCAGGUUAGGUGGAAUGGAAACAGGUGAGGGGGCUGGGUACCCAGGUUAGGUGGUAUGGAAACAGGUCAGGGGGCUGGGUACCCAGGUUAGGUGGUAUGGAAACAGGUGAGGAGGCUGGGUACCCAGGUUAGGUGGUAUGGAAACAGGUGAGGGGCAGGGUACCCAGGUUAGGUGGUAUGGAAACAGGUGAGGGGGCAGGGUACCCAGGUUAGGUGGUAUGGAAACAGGUGAGGAGGCUGGGUACCCAGGUUAGGUGGUAUGGAAACAGGUGAGGGGGAUGGGUACUGGGUUAGGUGGUAUGGAAACAGGUGAGGAGGCUGGGUACCCAGGUUAGGUGGUAUGGAAACAGGUGAGGGGGAUGGGUACCCAGGUUAGGUGAUAUGGAAACAGGUGAGGGG
ensembl:lncRNA